GGCUCGGUAGCUCAGUCGGUAGAGCAGAGGACUGAAAAUCCUCGUGUCGGCGGCCGUCCCGAGCCACCA
rnacentral:tRNA from 1 species